UACGUAGGGUGCGAGCGUUGUCCGGAUUUAUUGGGCGUAAAGAGCUCGUAGGCGGCUUGUCGCGUCGGAUGUGAAAGCCCGGGGCUUAACUCCGGGUCUGCAUUCGAUACGGGCAGGCUAGAGUGUGGUAGGGGAGAUCGGAAUUCUGGUGUAGCGGUGAAAUGCGCAGAUAUCAGGAGGAACACCGGUGGCGAAGGCGGAUCUCUGGGCCAUUACUGACGCUGAGGAGCGAAAGCGUGGGGAGCGAACAGG
rnacentral:rRNA from 1 species